GGUUCCAGGUGAAGGACCACACUGUUACUGGCAUAGUCGUAAUUCUGAUCAGCAUCUUGAGCAAUUGCACUAGCACGCACCUAUGUGAAACAGACAAGAGUUAGUUUGUAAAUAGAGAAUCCUUAAGUUGCCCCUUUUACAUAAUAGCAGACUUGCAGCCAUAGCAUACAAUGUAGCACACUGAUGUUGCUGUUGGUCCCAUAGGUUUAGAAGGAAUUUCCAUAACAACUUCAACUAUGUUACUGGAAAGAGAAAAGAGAAAAAAAAUGUUGCUUUAAUAAGGGACAUUGCUGCCAUCCUUUCUAUCCUUGUAAAUAAAGCAUGCCAAUCUAAUUUUCUCUUCAAUUGCUGCUUUUUCUGAUUCCUCGAAUCUCCACAUCCAGUCACAUUUUGAAAUGGAAAUAGCAGUAUUGUUUUGCAUUUUAAUUUAAAUCAAAUAACAGCAUCCCGACUAACUGUGUACUUCAAUGGGUCAUCCUAAUUAUUAGAAAUCUCAUAUCUCGAGUGGUAAAAGACCUAGAGAAAAUAAAGAAAGAAAGCUUUCGGUUUGGAAAGCUUUGGAAAUCUGACACAUGCAAAGCCCCUUUUAUCCAGGCUACUUCAGACACAGCGUGACUCACUUAAGCAUAUUUGUUUGCAUCUCCCAUAUUUUCAAACUUCUUUUUACUUCUUUUGUGUCUUUUUAUCAUAUAAUUAUAUAAUGCCUUUAAAUCAACGAUUUAAGUUCACCAAAUCCAAAAAGUUAUAGAAGGGAUUAAAUGUGUGACCUAAGAUUGCACAGUUUUCUAGGAUUGCUGGAGGUUAUUGUUGAAUUGCUCUUCCUUUUUAUGAGAUUGUCAAUGUAUCUGGCUUUGAGGAUGGGAGCAAACUAUAAUCUGCUUAUGUUCUGCCUUUGUUUCAUUAGAGGGUUGAUCAACAUUUGCAAACAGUCAAAUUGCAUAUCAUAUCAUAUCAUAUCAUAUCAUAUCAUAUCAUAUGGACAUUCUGCCACCACCCCUCCUCAAGCUAUGCCUCAGCCUCAUUUAGACAUAUUUUGAUUCUGCCAUGGGAAAAUGUUUCAAAAGGCAGGCUUGUGUGUGGUUUAUUUCAGUAACAUGUCUUCUACUCUGUGGCUUAUUUCAGUUCUACUGUAAUGAUAUUUCCCUGAAUAGCAUAGCAAAUGAUUUAGUGGCUUUUGUAAACCUGCAUGAUGUAAUAAUAUAUGGCUUGGGGUAUAAUAUGCUAGCUUUUAUCACUUGGCAGAAAGAAAGAAAUCGGACAUAAGUCAAGAAUUUCCAUAUAUGUCUUUCAGAAUGUAAAUGGUGGGUUUUCAAAUUAAAUUUUCAUGGGAAGAUAUGUUCUCACAUUAAUGCUGAAAUGCCACAAAAGGAGAAGGCUCUUUGACACCCUAUGCUUGGAAUGUAAUUUGAGUAGUAUUUUAACAUUUUUUUUUCCUUUCUGGGUAUCAUAUAGCAAAAAAACGAGAAGGGCUUAAAGGAUUUGGAAUUGCUCAUCACUAUGCUAGCAUUAAUAUAAUGAAACCAAUAUGCUGCGUGAUUACACUCAAAGCUUUGAUUCAAAUGUGUUUGCCACUGGUGAGGUGAUCCAUUUUAACCAAUAUGUAACAAUGUCCUUGGACUUCAUAAUAUGUUUUUAGGAAUUAAUCUUUAGUUUGUAGAAGCUGAAGGUUUUCAUUUACUCAUUUCAUCUAGUUACUAAUUCUUCGUGAAGGAAAUCUACACAAUGAGAAUAUCAUCAUUCUGGCUUGACUAUUAGAACAUGUGGAUUUUUAAAUGGAUGUGAAAAAAUUAAAAUGCAAACUAGCAACUAUCUAUAUUAACAAUAUUUGCUUUAUUAUCAAACUAAUGUACUUCCCAGCUAUUAUUAUUAAUACGAAUAGCGUUUAUACAGCAUUUUUAUUAUAUGCUUUCUGAGUGUUGUCCAUCUUCAUUGUUUUCUACACGCAAACUUUAGGACCCAGGACUCAUUGAUUUAGAGAUUGGAACCUUUUGAAAAUAUACAAUGUAGGUCUUUGUUCUUUAGACUAAAUGAAGUAAGUGUUGCCAUUUUGAGUCCAGAAAGCACAACCAGAGAAACCUGCUAAUGCAUUGGUGUGAAUCCACACACUAGAAGGUUAUCCUUUGCACUUCUUAUUUCCUUUGUUGAAUAAAACCAGUGUGGUAGCUUUAUCAUAGAAAGCAAUUUCCUAACAUUCGAACCUAUGUGACAGUCGAGGACCUUCCCAGUUAAAUACCCACCAUCUGCCAGUGGCCGUGAUGUCAGUAGCCUGUCCACCCAUCACACUCUAAGAGUAUAAUGGGACGUGGAAUUUCAAGCUCUGAUAUCUAUCCCACUGACUUCAGCAAUUCUUCCUCGAAGCCAUCAAACUAUUGAGGAAGGUAAUGUGUUCGCCUUGAAGGCUAUUUUCAGAUUCCUAAAUGUGCACCGAUUUCCACAUUUUGUCGGGGGAGUAUAAUGCAUCCUUUUCUGGCCCAAUAUACCUACUUCUUCCUAAAUUCACUUUAGUAUCUUUUUUAGAAUGUUAACUAUAUAGUUUCUUGGCUUUAUCUUCAGUAUGCAUUUCUCUGCUUUUAAAGAGAAUACUAAUUUGAUAUAGCACAUCAUCACUCUUUCUGAAAAAUAAAUAUAAAAUCCCACAGUAUUACUCUUUCCAGUGUUGUUCACAUCCAUUGUUACCAUAACUAAUAAAUUCUAAGUGAAAGGCUUAUCACUAAUUAUUGUAUAUGACUCAUUUUCUGGCAAUUUAGUUUUUAUUAUGGUGGUUUACUGUAAUGACAUUAUCGUAACUGUGCUCAGAAACUAUUCCUUCAGGUUUUUAACUACAAGUAUCCAAGCAUUAGAAAUUUUUCCUGUAUUUAUGUAAAGUUAUUUGAGCUCCAUUUUUACCUUUCAUAUGCACUGUGAUGGGCUUUCAACAAAUGAUAUGAUGAAGUGUAGCUAAUGGUUGCAUGGGGGUUAUGUACUGCUUUAUAGUGAGUGAUAUGUUUGUAAGAAUAUUGUAAGCUGUAUAGUUUUAGCAUUGUCUUAUUACUGAGGGAUUAUCAUUGUACAAAAUAUUUAUGGCAACAUUUACUAAUUGAAUUAAUCGUUGCUGAUGUUCUGGAAAUUUGAUUUUCAUUGUACUCCAGUGGAACCAUAAACAAAAGGUUAAGUGGUACAUCAGGUUAAUUUAUUGCCCUUUGAUGUUUCCAUCUGUGACCCUCCAUUCAACACAAAGCAUAAAUAAAAUGGCACUC
rnacentral:lncRNA from 1 species